AGCAGAUUUGCGAUGAAAACGAAGGGGGCUGUCAAAUUCUGCCAAAAGGGAUUUCUCCGCUUAAAUUUCUGCUUACAUUAUUGACUCAAGUAAAUUAUCUUUUCAUUAAAUACUUCCCUUUUCCCCUCUCUCUUUCGGACUGCUGCUGAUAAAUUACGCAAUGUUCUCAGGCUCCAUCUCUGGGCUGAACUUCUACAUUUCUCCUCAGCACAGCAGAAUGGAUAGAGCAUGCCAAAGAAAAUAGACUUCACGAUGAAACAUGUAUGGUACCAUCACAGGUGAAUUCUAGCCUCAAGAACUACCACAGAAUUGAACCUCCAACAGAACGGAGGAGGAACCUGGAGGCUCUCAGAUGGAGGAGACAUCUACAUACCCAGGAAAGCAAAACAGGGAUGGAAAGGGCUUUGAAGGGACGGGGCACUGAUGUUCUGAGAAUGCCAGAAGAGAUUCUAGAAAAAGAUGCAGCAUGCCUUGGCAACAGAUGGAAUGUGGGGAGCAAAAGAGAUGAAAGCAUCAAAAAGAUCAAGCCAUGUUUGCAAGAGAUGUGAAGUAGCAGUCAAAAGAAUGAGCCAGGUAUGUGCUUCUUGGCAGGAAAAUCCUUUUAAGUACUUAAAGUCAUCUUUAUGUUUGAGUCAUUAGGAUUAGUUCUGCCCUGUUUAAUGCUAAAGGAAAUAGGUAGAUAAUGAAACAACUCAGAAGACAAGUGGAACACCUACUGCUAAUGGUACAUAAAGCACUUCAUGUUCUCAAAAUAUUUAGAGAAAGAGUUAACAUUGUUUCCAUCCUUUCAUCAUCCUGUUCAAAGCAAAGGCGGCUUCCUUUAUCUGAUCUAAAAUAUUUAAAUCGUGACCAAAAAAAUUUGUGUCUAUCUGGGGACCAGGGGGAACUGAGAAGGGCAGACCUACCUGCAUGUUUGGAUGGUGUAGCCAACUAUUUCCGGCCAUUGUUUUCCUGAAUUCUUUUUGGAAUGUGAAGGGGGCU
rnacentral:lncRNA from 1 species